ACGGGAGGCAGCAGUGGGGAAUUUUGGACAAUGGGCGCAAGCCUGAUCCAGCCAUGCCGCGUGUCUGAAGAAGGCCUUCGGGUUGUAAAGGAUUUUUGUCCGGGAGCAAAUACCAGUAGUUAAUACGUAGUGGGGAUGAGAGUACCGGAAGAAUAAGCACCGGCUAACUUCGUGCCAGCAGCCGCGGUAAUACGUAGGGUGCAAGCGUUAUUCGGAAUUACUGGGCGUAAAGCGUGCGCAGGCGGUUGUGCAAGUCUGAUGUGAAACCCCCGGGCUUAACCUGGGAACGGCAUUGGAGACUGCACGACUAGAGUGCGUCAGAGGGGGGUAGAAUUCCGCGUGUAGCAGUGAAAUGCGUAGAGAUGCGGAGGAAUACCGAUGGCGAAGGCAGCCCCCUGGGAUGACACUGACGCUCAUGCACGAAAGCGUGGGGAGCAAACAGGAUUAGAUACCCUGGUAGUCCACGCCCUAAACGAUGUCAACUAGCUGUUGGGGGUUUGAAUCCUUGGUAGCGUAGCUAACGCGUGAAGUUGACCGCCUGGG
rnacentral:rRNA from 1 species